rnacentral:rRNA from 1 species
CCGCACAAGCAGCGGAGCGUGUGGUUUAAUUCGAUGCAACACGAAGAACCUUACCAGGGCUUGACAUGUUAGAAGUAGGAACCCGAAAGGGGACGACCAGUAUCCAGUCUGGAGCUAACACAGGUGCUGCAUGGCUGUCGUCAGCUCGUGCCGUGAGGUGUAUGGUUAAGUCCCGCAACGAGCGCAACCCUCAUUGUUAGUUACUACCAUUCAGUUGAGGACUCUAAUGAGACUGCCAACGACAAGUUGGAGGAAGGUGGGGAUGACGUCAAAUCAUCAUGCCCUUUAUGACCUGGGCUACAAACGUACUACAAUGGCCAAUACAAAGAGAUGCGAAGCGGUGACGUGGAGCGAACCUCAGAAAGUUGGUCUCAGUUCAGAUUGAAGUCUGCAACUCGACUUCAUGAAGGCGGAAUCGCUAGUAAUCGCGAGUCAGCAGAUCGCGGUGAAUACGUUCCCGGGUUUU